rnacentral:tRNA from 1 species
AUCAAGUUAGUUUAUUCUAAAACAUCAAUCUGUGGAGUUGAARAUAAAAUUUAUACUUUACUUGAUC